UACCUAUUGGAAAACUCGGGAUCCCGUCCGCUCUCCCAGCGAUAAACCGAUAAGGGCCGGAUCAGUAGUCGGGUGGGUGACCACCGGCGAAUACCUGGU
rnacentral:rRNA from 1 species